rnacentral:rRNA from 1 species
AUUACCGCGGCUGCUGGCACGGAGUUAGCCGAUCCUUAUUCUUACAGUACCGUCAAUCUUCCACACGUGAAAGGGUUUCUUCCUGUACAAAAGCAGUUUACAAUCCAUAGGACCGUCAUCCUGCACGCGGCAUGGCUGGAUCAGGCUUGCGCCCAUUGUCCAAUAUUCCUCACUGCUGCCUCCCGUAGGCCCCCCGUGCCCCCGCCCCGCCCGCCGCGCGCGGCGGGA